ACAAACAUUGUCCCUCCUUCAUUAAAUUUUCAUCCAUUUCAGCAGCAAUGGAGUCUAAUAGACCUUAUUUCAUAAUUCUCUGCACAUAGGUAAUAUUUCACAUGCAUAUUUUUUCCCAAUAUACAAUACAUUUUAAAUCAUUGUGCUCAGUUUUCACAUUAUACAGGUGGAUUGAAAUCUCAGAGAUCCUUUCUACAGUUUAUUUGGUUACACACCAAUCCCAGAGAUCCUUUCUACAGUUUUUUGAUAGCAUCCUAUGCCUGUUAUUUUGCAUGAUGCUCUUUGGCCUUAUAGGACUGCCUAUAAGACACCACUUGGUAUGUCUCCAUAUAUUUUGGUUUAUGGAAAUGUUUAUCAUUUUUCUAUUGAAUUAAAAUACAAGGCCAAGUGGGCUAUGAAAAAGCUGAACUUGAACUUAGGAAAAUCUAGCAGACAUAGGAUGCUACUACUCCUAGAACAUACUAUCUCCUCCGUUCCUUUUUAAUUGUCACUUUUGCAUAAAUUUUUUGUUUCUAAUUAACUGUCACUUUCAAAGUUCAAUGCAACAUUAAAUGUUGUUUUACCUUUAUUACCCUUGAUUAUUUAUUGUAGAGAGAUAAGUAUAUGAAAUAAGAUAUUAAAUGAUGAAGGUUUUUAUAGAAAAAAGAUGAAUUGUUGUAUCAAAAGUAGUAAAAUGUAUUUGUUGUCUUGGUUUGUGUAAAAAACUCAAAAGUGACAGUUAAAAAGGAACGGAGGGAGUACUAUGGUAAUUAUAAUUGAAUACUUAUAGUUGAUGAAGUCCUUGAUUAUUUUGAGGGAAAGUCUCUCUUUAUAGGGGACUAGAGGUAGUAGUCAGUUAGACUGUGAACUAAUAUAGACAUACAAUGUGGUUUCCUUUACCUUUCUCUCUAUUUUAUUUUGAUACAGGAUGUUCUUUAUGGUUUAACUCGAACUAGUUUGUUUUUCAAUAGAGUUAAAUGAUUUGAUAAAGAAGUUUAUGUGUUUAGGAAAACCUAUUAAAAAAUAUUUUAUUAUAAUAUCUUUCAUAUUUUAUGACUUGGAUUGAAAAAUGUGUUUUCUUUUAAGAUCUUAGUUUACUUAUUUUGUGCCAAUAUUAAAGUUUAAUGUCUAUUAUUUUUUAAUUUUGUCUUCUCUAAUAAGUAAUAUCGGGUUGGAAUAAAUGUAUGCUGAUUUGAUCAUAGACGUUCUGAUUAAUAUUGUAUAGAGCUGUCAAAACGGGCGGCCCGGCCCGUUUAGGGCCGGCCCUGAAGGGCUUCGGGCUUUAUCGGUCCGGGCCAAAAAGCCCGGUUGAAAAAUGGGCUUGAAAUAUACUAUCCGAGCCCGGCCCUACACGGGCCGGCCUGUAUUAAAAAUUUUAUAUAUAUAUAUAUAUAUAUUUUUUUUUUAAAAAAAGCACUAUAAAAUACUCCUAUAAUUUUUUUUGAUAAAUAAUAUCUAGAACAAAAAUAAAUUGUAAACAUUUUCGUACAAACGUCGUAAACUAAAACGGCGAGGAAAACAAUUUUAAAUAAAUUAGAUACGUUAUGGUUAUAGAUAUUUAUAUAUUCGAUCUUUAAAAUUAUAAAUAACGAAACAAGUAAAUAUAAUUUUAUAUUACAUGUAUAUUUGUGUCAAUUCAUUGAAUUUUCACUUUUAUUUAUUACUUUGAUAAUCAACUAAGUAAAGAAUUUUUUGAUAAAUAUAUAUAAUUUAUAGGAUUUUUUUUGUUAUGCGGGCUAGCGGGCUACCCUUGGCCCGUUCGGGCUGGCCCUAACGGGUAGCAGGCUUUUUAGGUCCGGGCUAAAAAGCCCUAUUGAAAUUCGGGCUCAAUAUUUAAGGCCCAAGCCCUAUAAUUAAUCGGGCUAAACGGGCCGGCCCAUACGGCCCGGCCCGUUUUGACAGCUCUAAUAUUUUACAAUGAUCAUGAUUUUAAAAUAUUAGGCAUUAAGGAAAGUUUUGUUAUUGUGGAUUUUUCAAAAGAUGAUGGAGAGUUACCUUGAUAUUAAAGGCUUUUGAAAACAUGAGUUUUUAUCUGCAAAUGAAUUUCAUUAUUUAACGAUAAAUAUCAAAUAUUUUAUUUUUAGUGUAGAGUGUCACAACAUCGAUCAUAUAAUAUUGUCAACAACAAAAUGCAUCUUAUGUUACUUUUAAUUUAGAAAAAAUUGUGUUGGCACCACUUAGGUUCAUUAUUUAUAAAAUUAGUUUUAUUUUUCGACGUUUAUCUUUAUUAAUUAUCAUUUCAGACUUAUCCCUUAUCUAUUAUGAAAGGCUAAUAUAAAUUAAAAAUAUAUAUAAUAAAAAUUUAAUGAGCAUCAAGUUUAAACACAACACAAUGAUCUAUUUUAAAGACCUUUAACAAUAACUUCAAUUUAUUAAUGAUCUCUUACAACUUCUUAAGGGUAAAAAACUAUUAUCUUGGUAUUAACAAAGCAAGAAAUUUUUAUUUAUAAAGUUUAAAAACACAUUUUAUUUAUUAGAUGUAAAGGAGAAAAAUAUGGCUCAAAUUCUUAAACUUGUUUAUGCUUUCACAAUCUUUCUUUUUAUAUUUCUUGUGGUAACCAAUGGACGUGAGUAGUUUCUGACAUUAAUUUCUUCUUAAUGUUAUAUACAUAAUAUUCCCUCCGUCUCAAAAUAUAAGUAAAUUUUACUUUUUAGGUUCAUUCAAUUAAUGAUGUAUGUGAUUUAUAAUAUGGACCACAUACAUCAUUAAUUGAAUGAACCUAAAAAGUAAAAUUGACUUAUAUUUUAAAACAGAGGGAGUAUUUCAUUACCUCGUGGUAACAUUGAUUUGUUGUUGUUUGACUUUGCAGAAGAAUGUAAAGAUGAUGGUGAUUGUCCAACAAAUAUGUGUCUCCCUUCUCUAGUUUCGAAAUGCAUUAAUUUUAUUUGUGAGUGCACACAUUCGAUGAGUACUGAUUAAUAUUAAAAAUACCUAUAUGUUAUUAAAAAGCAUAUAUUUCAAUGGGGUUUACUUUCUUGGCAAGUUUCCUUUUCUUAAAAAAUAAUAAUUUGUAAUAAGUAUACAAUUUAUUUGUACUUCAUAAUUUUCCUCACAGUUUGAUUUAUAUUUUUCUUGCCUUUAAAUUUCUUUGAGAAGCUCAAAAUUUUAUAGUUAUAUUAUAAAAAAAAUUGUUACAUUCGUUGAAUUAUAUAUGUUAUCUAAAAUAGUGGCGGAUCUUGCCAAAAAUAUUAGGAGGAGCAACAAAUACUAACAAAUUUUUUAAUACAAAUAAUACUACAGACAGGUACGUUAAACACAAAGUAUGCGAAGAGUAGAUAAUAAAUUUCACUUACAUAUCUAACAUUGAACUGAAACAUCAUUAAUAAAGUGCAUUUUAAUUGAAACAUCAAUAAGAAAUUUUGAAUUAAAACAUUGAAAUUCACAUGUUGAAUUGAAACUUUGUAAUGAAACAAUGAGUUAGAAACAUCAAUAAGAAAGUUUAACCAUUGUAUCAGUGUAAAACCUAUUUGACACAUUCCAAAUUCAUAGCAAUUCAAACAAUCAAACAAACCAAUUGCGAUUUCCGAAUUCCAAGUGAAGAAACCAAUAGAAUAUGGUGGUAUUUUGGUCAUUUCCUCUAAUAAAAACAAAGUUACCACAUGAUUUUAUUUCGACAAUUUCACUACAUGAUAUAAUAAUACUUUCAAAUGACAUGCAUCACCUUUACGAUCUAUCACAUCAAUACCUAAUAGAUUAUUCCACAAAAUACUCCUUAAUGAUUAAUGAGUCCCAACCUGGACUCCGUGCUAGAUUUAGGUGGAAUUCUUUUCCAAGACGAAUGCAUGAAUAUCUCAUUUUAACUAUCCUAAUCAGUUUCACAUCAAAGUGUGUACAUUUCCUAAAAAAAAAGUAUGUACAUUAUUUGUGUAUUAGUUGAAUUAAACCAAACAAAAAUACAACUAACAAUAAAAUUAAUAAAUAUUUCAAUACACAAAAUAUUUAAUUAAUUAGAAUUUAGAGUUAAUUAAUUAAUUUUAAUUUUUUAGUAUCUAUAUUAUUAAAGUAUCAAAAUUUGAGGUAAAAAAAUAAUGUUAUUUUAUUUAAAUUCAAAUUUAAUUUUAUAAAAGGAUCAUCUUUGUUUAUAAAAAUAUUUACUAAAAUUUGUCAAUAUUUUUAUGUUUCUUAUAUUAUGGCUUGUAUUUAAAUUUAAAUUUAAAAUUUGAAAAAUUAUUGAGUUUUUAUGAGUAACCUUGUCAACAUACUCAUUUUGUUAUCUCUUUAUCCCUUUCUCUCUGUUCUUCUAUGUUGUACAAUAUCUUGCAAUACAUUAAAUUAAUUUCAUAACACGUUAUCAACACGAAGCUCUAACAAUAUGAGAUUGAGUAUGAUAAAGAGUAUGAUAUAGUCAUAAACAAAAGCAGAAGAUUAAUCACAAUUUCUACAAUGAAAAGAGUUGAAGAAUCUAAAGAAGCAAUUUGAACAUUUGAUGGUUCUACAUUUGAUGGUUCUAGACCGUGAUUCAUGUUUGCUAAUGGUUCAUUACAUCUCUAUGUUUUUAAUUCUUCAUUUUGUUUCAAAUUUUGUUUUAGUGAAUUAUCUACAAUUUUUUAAUUUCUCAGUGUAUAGACUAUGAUAAUUAGGCAAGGGAUAGCUUUAAUUUCGCACCCAUGAAGCUUAAAAAUAUAGAACAUGCUUCAUGUCAAUUAUUAUUUUUAUUUUAUAUCGCACAUAAAUUUUGUUGAAAAUGCUCUUUAACUUAUAAUUAACAUAUCUUUUUUUUCUUUAUUUUUGUUAAAUUCCAGAAGAAUUCAACAACAAAUCAUCCCUGAAGGAUAGUUCAAACAAUGAAGAUAUUUUAUGAUACAGUUCUUGAAGAACUAAUUUUUUUUUCCUUUUAUUAUUAAAUCUCCUUGAAGGAUUUCUCAAAUAACGAAUAAUUUAAUUUUAAGAAUUCAUAAAAGAUUGCAAAAUAAAAAUAUUGUGAUUUUCCUUUGUUCUCGAUAGAUGUUUGUGGUGAGUUCUUGAAGAACUAGAUCUUUGUUAAUAUCUACUAAAUUUACAUUUUUGUCAUGCCAAUCUAUUAUAUUUUUAUUGAUUUUUAUUUAGUUAACACAUUAGUAUCUUUGAUAUUCUUAAUAAAUUUUUCAAUAAUUUAAUAUCGAGUAUCCCUGAAGGAUUGCGCAAAAGAAUUGUUCUUAAUCAUUAUAUAGAUCAUGUAUAAUAUAAUUCCUGAAGAAAAAAAAAAUUAAGAUUAAAACAUCUCUGAAAGAUUGGCAAACAAUCAAAUUUGUAUCCUUAUUUAUGAAGGUUAUAUAUAUAUAUAUAUAUAUAUAUAUAUAUAUAUAUAUAUAUAUAUAUAUAUAUAUAUAAUAGUUCUUGAAGAACUAAAUAUUUAAUAUUAAGCAUCCUCGAAGGAUAGCAAAAAUUAUAAUCUUCAUUGAUGUUGAUAGAUUUAUGGUUGAAAAUAAUAUCUAUUCUAUCAUUGUUUUAUUUUAAAAAAGUAUUGGAGAGUUACGCGUUAAGAAAGUAAUGUUGUUCUCGAAGAAUUAAUUUGUUAUUUUAAAGAUCUCUAAAGGAUCGCUCAAAUAAAGAAGUUUCUUGAUAAUUGUUUAUGAAGAUUUGAAAUAUAACUCCUGAAGAACUAAAAUUUAAUAUUAAAUCAUCCUUGAAGGAUUGCAAAAAUUAUGAUUUUACUUGCUUAUUGUUCAUAGAGGUUUGUGGAGUUCUUGACCACAAUUCAAAUAUAUAAGAUCUAUUUGAUCUUAGAAUAAAUUACAUCAAAAGAAUUCAAGAAAAAAUUAUUUAUGCAUCUUGAAUGUUCUCCUGAAGUAGAAAAAAUUGAGAAAAUAAUAUCAAGAAACUUCUACACAUCUCAACUUCUUGAACCAACACUAAUAUAAUAAACCAAGUACCAAGAUGAUAACCACACCAUGAACAAAAUAAAUAGUUACCCAGAGAUAAUAUAUUGUACACAUGUGAAUAAUUUCCAAUUCAUUAACUAAAAAACAGAAUGACCUGUAAAAUAUAAAAUCAUUUUAAAGAAAAAAAGCAAGAGCACAAAUGCAAAAUAAAUAUGAGAAAUGAUAUUUGAACAACCAUUUUUUGACAACUUUUGUGACACCUUUCUCUUUCAUACUCACAUUAUAUUUUCACUUUCUCUUUCUAUUGCUUUGGUUUUUGUGCCAAUCACUUAUUUUCUUUGUAAAAUUUUGUUUGUUGCAAGGGUUAUCAUAUAAAAUGAUGUUCAAAUAACACAACUCAACAAAUAUAUAUGAACAGCUAAACUAAUAUCAAAGUGGCACAUAUAGAUUGAAUAAGAAAGAUGCCACUUUUAGAACAAUGUUAAUGGUGAUUACUCAAAGCAAAUCUUGCCUAGUUACAAACGACACUAACAUAUCAGUAAAUCUAUGUUUACUAACAAUUGACUCAUACACUUUUACGUCAUAACCAUAUAUAAUAAGCAGAAAAUAUUCCUCCGAUUAACAUAGAAUUGAAAGAGAAUGAGACCCUCUUGGUUUAAUAUGUGCUCUACAUUUCCAACUUUAGUAGACCGUUUAAAACCAAAAUAUCAUUAAUAGGGGAUUAGGUUCUCAGAUGAAAGGUACAGGGGGCAGAUUUGAGCAAAAUUUUGUGAAGAUUAGUGCAUUCAGAUUUUUAUUUUAUUAGUAAAGGAUUUCAGUCUAUUUGAUUUGGUCUUGCAAACACAAAAAUGGUGGACAACAAUGAGUUAUAACAAGUAAUAUGAUUUAAACAAAACACAAAGCAUAGCAGGUGCUACAGUUGUAUUCAAACAUCCACAAUCCAUUAUAGUUUCACAUUUUCUUAGAAUGCCAAUCAGAGCAAAAGUAUUUCACUUUCGACUCUCUCUUUCCAUCUUCUCUCUUCUCACUUUUAACAGUACACAAAUCACACCACCGCCACCAUCCAGCACCUCGCACUCAGAUCUGAACGCCAUUAACGUCAUCUAUCACCAUAUCAUCUCACCGUCACCACCACCACCGUUGCCACCGUCCUCACCCUCUCUCGCCUCUGUAUUUGUUCUCUCUGCCUCACACUCUUCACCAAAACAAAACAUCAACAACCUUUUAAAAAAAACAAAACAGCAGUAAUUUCACAGAUGUCGGAAUGAUGCGACGGCGGAAACAGAGAAGGCAGAAACAGAGAGAAGGCGGAGAGAAGAAAUAGCGCAUCAAUGAGAGAGAAGAUGAGUACCAGUUAAACAAUGGUAGGAUACUGGAUGCUGUGAUGAGCCAUCACUUCACAGGGGUGAUGAAUGAGGCAAGCAAGAGCAAGGGAAUAAUGUAAUUUAUAGAUAGUAAUAACACAUUUCAUUGGAACCCUAAUGCUUUGGAAACAUGCCAGAACUGAAUAUAGAUGAAGUAGUUGGGAGAUUUGAAUUUCAAAAUCAUCAUUAAAUGCAUCUAGGUAAUUACAUAAGUUUUGGGGGGAUUAGUUGGGAGAUCUGAAUAUUAUAUUCUUAGCGCCAAAUCUGCUUGGUUUAGGGUUUUUUAAAUGUUGUUUGCAAAUGUACAUUUGGAUUAGAUAUAAAGAUAUUUUGGUUUAUGGAAAUGUUUAUCAUUUUUCUAUUGAAUUAGAAUACAAGGCCAAGUGGGCUAUGAAAAAGCUGAACUUGAACUUAGGAAAAUCUAGCAGACAUAGGAUGCUACUACUCCUAGAACAUACUAUCUCCUCCGUUCCUUUUUAAUUGUCACUUUUGCAUAAAAUUUUUGUUUCUAAUUAACUGUCACUUUCAAAGUUCAAUGCAACAUUAAAUGUUGUUUUACCUUUAUUACCCUUGAUUAUUUAUUGUAGAGAGAUAAGUAUAUGAAAUAAGAUAUUAAAUGAUGAAGGUUUUUAUAGAAAAAAGAUGAAUUGUUGUAUCAAAAGUAGUAAAAUGUAUUUGUUGUCUUGGUUUGUGUAAAAAACUCAAAAGUGACAAUUAAAAAGGAACGGAGGGAGUACUAUGGUAAUUAUAAUUGAAUACUUAUAGUUGAUGAAGUCCUUGAUUAUUUUGAGGGAAAGUCUCUCUUUAUAGGGGACUAGAGGUAGUAGUCAGUUAGAUUGUGAACUAAUAUAGACAUACAAUGUGGUUUCCUUUACCUUUCUCUCUAUUUUAUUUUGAUACAGGAUGUUCUUUAUGGUUUAACUCGAACUAGUUUGUUUUUUAAUAGAGUUAAAUGAUUUGAUAAAGAUGUUUAUGUGUUUAGGAAAACCUAUUAAAAAAUAUUUUAUUAUAAUAUCUUUCAUAUUUUCUGACUUGGAUUGAAAAAUGUGUUUUCUUUUAAGAUCUUAGUUUACUUAUUUUGUGUCAAUAUUAAAGUUUAAUGUCUAUUAUUUUUUAAUUUUGUCUUCUCUAAUAAGUAAUAUCGGGUUGGGAUAAAUGUAUGCUAAUUUGAUCAUAGACGUUCUGAUUAAUAUUGUAUAGAGCUGUCAAAACGGGCAGCCCGACCCGUUUAGGGCCGGCCCUGAAGGGCUUCGGGCUUUAUCGGUCUGGGCCAAAAAGCCCGGUUGAAAAACGGGCUUGAAAUAUACUAUCCGAACCCGGCCCUUCACGGGCCGGCCUGUAUUAAAAAUUAUAUAUAUAUAUAUAUAUAUUUUAAAAAAAAGCACUAUAAAAUACUCCUAUAAUUUUUUUUUUAUAAAUAAUGUCUAGAACAAAAAUAAAUUGUAAACAUUUUCGUACAAACGUCGUAAACUAAAACGGCGAGGAAAGCAAUUUUAAAUAAGUUAGAUACGUUAUGGUUAUAGAUAUUUAUAUAUUCGAUCUUUAAAAUUAUAAAUAACGAAACAAGUAAAUAUAAUUUUAUAUUACAUGUAUAUUUGUGUCAAUUCAUUGAAUUUUCACUUUUAUUUAUUACUUUGAUAAUCAACUAAGUAAAGAAUAAUUUAACAAAUAUAUAUAAUUUAUAGGAUUUUUUUUGUUAUGCGGGCUAGCGGGCUACCCUUGGCCCGUUCGGGCUGGCCCUAACGGAUAGCGGGCUUUUUAGGUCCGGGCUAAAAAGCCCUAUUGAAAUUCGGGCUCAAUAUUUAAGGCCCAAGCCCUAUAAUUAAUCGGGCUAAACGGGCCGGCCCAUACGGCCCGGCCCGUUUUGACAGCUCUAAUAUUGUACAAUGAUCAUGAUUUUAAAAUAUUAGGCAUUAAGGAAAGUUUUGUUAUUGUGGAUUUUUCAAAAGAUGAUGGAGAGUUACCUUGAUAUUAAAGGCUUUUGAAAACAUGAGUUUUUAUCUGCAAAUGAAUUUCAUUAUUUAACGAUAAAUAUCAAAUAUUUUAUUUUUAGUGUAGAGUGUCACAACAUCGAUCAUAUAAUAUUGUCAACAGCAAAAUGCAUCUUAUGUUACUUUUAAUUUAGAAAAAAUUGUGUUGGCACCACUUAGGUUCAUUAUUUAUAAAAUUAGUUUUAUUUUUCAACGUUUAUCUUUAUUAAUUAUCAUUUCGGACUUAUCCCUUAUCUAUUAUGAAAGGCUAAUAUAAAUUAAAAAUAUAUAUAAUAAAAAUUUAAUGAGCAUCAAGGUUAAACACAACACAAUGAUCUAUUUUAAAGACCUUUAACAAUAACUUCAAUUUAUUAAUGAUCUCUUACAACUUCUUAAGGGUAAAAAACUAUUAUCUUGGUAUUAACAAAGCAAGAAAUUUUUAUUUAUAAAGUUUAAAAACACAUUUUAUUUAUUAGAUGUAAAGGAGAAAAAUAUGGCUCAAAUUCUUAAACUUGUUUAUGCUUUCACAAUCUUUCUUUUUAUAUUUCUUGUGGUAACCAAUGGACGUGAGUAGUUUCUGACAUUAAUUUCUUCUUAAUGUUAUAUACAUAAUAUUCCCUCCGUCUCAAAAUAUAAGUAAAUUUUACUUUUUAGGUUCAUUCAAUUAAUGAUGUAUGUGAUUUAUAAUAUGGACCACAUACAUCAUUAAUUGAAUGAACCUAAAAAGUAAAAUUGACUUAUAUUUUAAAACAGAGGGAGUAUUUCAUUACCUCGUGGUAACAUUGAUUUGUUGUUGUUUGACUUUGCAGAAGAAUGUAAAGAUGAUGGUGAUUGUCCAACAAAUAUGUGUCUCCCUUCUCUAGUUUCGAAAUGCAUUAAUUUUAUUUGUGAGUGCACACAUUCGAUGAGUACUGAUUAAUAUUAAAAAUACCUAUAUGUUAUUAAAAAGCAUAUAUUUCAAUGGGGUUUACUUUCUUGGCAAGUUUCCUUUUCUUAAAAAAUAAUAAUUUGUAAUAAGUAUACAAUUUAUUUGUACUUCAUAAUUUUCCUCACAGUUUGAUUUAUAUUUUUCUUGCCUUU
rnacentral:lncRNA from 1 species